rnacentral:rRNA from 1 species
ACGUAGGGGGCGAGCGUUGUCCGGAAUCACUGGGUGUAAAGGGCGUGUAGGCGACUCUCUAAGUUGAAUGUGAAAUCUCUCGGCUCAACUGAGAGUGGUCAUUCAAAACUGGAGGGAUAUGAGGACAGAAGAGGAAAGUGGAAUUCUCGGUGUAGCGGUAAAAUGCGUAGAUAUCGAGAGGAACACCGGUGGCGAAGGCGACUUUCUGGUCUGUUCCUGACGCUAAAGCGCGAAAGCUAGGGGAGCAAACGG